AUUGAACGCUGGCGGCAUGCCUUACACAUGCAAGUCGAACGGCAGCACGGGAGCAAUCCUGGUGGCGAGUGGCGAACGGGUGAGUAAAGCAUCGGAACGUGCCCAGUCGUGGGGGAUAACGUAGCGAAAGCUACGCUAAUACCGCAUACGAUCUGUGGAUGAAAGCGGGGGACCGUAAGGCCUCGCGCGAUUGGAGCGGCCGAUGUCAGAUUAGGUAGUUGGUGAGGUAAAGGCUCACCAAGCCGACGAUCUGUAGCUGGUCUGAGAGGACGACCAGCCACACUGGGACUGAGACACGGCCCAGACUCCUACGGGAGGCAGCAGUGGGGAAUUUUGGACAAUGGGCGCAAGCCUGAUCCAGCAAUGCCGCGUGCAGGAUGAAGGCCUUCGGGUUGUAAACUGCUUUUGUACGGAGCGAAACGGCUUCCACUAAUACUGGGGGCUAAUGACGGUACCGUAAGAAUAAGCACCGGCUAACUACGUGCCAGCAGCCGCCGUAAGAC
rnacentral:rRNA from 1 species